rnacentral:lncRNA from 1 species
UUUUGGGGUGGCUCAGUGAGUGAAGGAUCUGGCAUUGUCACUGCUGUGGUUCAGACUGCAACUGUGGUGAAGGUCUGAUCCCUGGCCUGGGACCUUCCAUAUGCUACAGGCACGACCGAAAAAAAAAAAAAAACACUAAAGAAGAGGAAGUUUUGCCUUUCGAUAUUAAACUGUGCAUCACACCCUCCAGACUGUCCAGUUCUGGCACUGUUCAUUGUCUUUGAGCCAUUUUACACCUCUUUGUAACUGUAGGUAAAUGAGAAGUAUGCAAAUCUGUAUUGUCUGGUAGUUUCCUUCGACUUCCUUAACUCAGGGGGAAAAACAGUUUUGUCUCCAUUUGUAAUUCAACCCCUUAUUUCAUUUGUAUUUGUAUUCCUUGGACUUUUCCUCUGAACCAGUUGUAACAUCUGUCUGAUUCCCUUGCUAAUUAAAGGGUAAAAUAAAAUCUUUAAGGUGUUCAUUCUUGCAUCCAUUCACGUGACAGUCAUGCUCUUGCUUCUUUCUGAAAAUUAUUUGUUUAACAAGGCCCUAAAGGUAACUACUAGAUAAGAAACACAAACCUUCCAAAUUAUCACUGAAAGUACAAACACAAUAAUAAGACAAAACUAAUAGGAGACAGGAGGGAAGGGGGUAGGGAACAACCUUUAAAAAAAAUAACAUUAAAAAAAAAAUGACAUAGCAGGAGUUCCCAUCAUGGUGCAGUGGAAAUAAAUCCAACUAGGGACCAUGAGGUUGUGAUUUCGAUCCCUGGGUUCACUCAGUGGGUUAAGGAUCCAGUUGCCAUGAGCUAUGGUAUAGGCCCACAGCUAUAGCUCUGAUUCGACCUCUAGCCUGGGAACCCCCAUCUGCUGCAGGUAUGGCCCUAAAAAGAAAAAGAAGAAGAAGAAAUAAUGACACUGCAGAAUUCCUGUUGUGGCUCAACAGGUUAAGAACACAGCAUAGUAUCCACGAGGAUGCAGCCUCGAUUCCUGGCCUUGCUAGGUGGAUUAAGGAUCUGACAUUGCCUUGGCUGUGGCGUAGGCUGGCAGCUCCAACUCUAAUUUGACCCCUAGAUCAGAACUUCCAUAUGCCACAAAUUUGGCCAUAAAAAAGGAGGGAGGAGUUCCCGUUGUGGCACAGUGGCUAAUGAGUCCUACUAGGAACCAUGAGGUUGCGGGUUCAAUCCCCGGCNGCUGNUGCCGUGAGCUGUGGUGUAGGUCACAGAGGCAGCUCGGAUCCCGAGUUGCUGUGGCUCUGUCGUAAGCUGGUGGCUACACCUCCGAUUAGACCCCUAGCCUGGGAACCUCCAUGUGCCUUGGGAGUGGCCCUAGAAAAGGCAAAAAGACAAAAAAAAAUGGGUGGGGGGAGAAAGAAUGACAUAGCUGUUGAGGAUACAACAUAAACUUGUUAGAACCAAUAUUGGCAGAAGAUUUAACUUCCAGUAAACCUUGAGCCUCAUUUUAUGCUCGUUGUAAUAUAGUAACAAUUAGAUGACACACCCACAGGUGCCACACAGUUCCCAGGCUGACCACGAAAGGCCAAAAAGUGGGUGGGGGCCCAAUUCCUGAGAAUCUCCACCCCUUCUCCAAAGUGGCUGAAAUAAUCCUACUUGUUACCCUAUGAGUUUAUGCUGCUCAUAAAAACUAACCACCCCAUAUUUCAGGGCCUCUCACCUUCUGAGAUGGCCCACAUUCUGUCUGUGGUGUGUGUAUCUCUCUCAGUAAACUCGCUUAACUCUUGGAGUCGAGCCCCCUUGCCUGCCCACCUGUACCCCUCACAGUGUCCUAUAGUAAUAAAAUCACAUUUUGCCUGUCACUUUGCCUCUCACUAAUAUCUUCCAUUCUGAGACAUAAAGAACUUGAGCUUUAGUAAGUCCUGAACCAGGUGAGUGAUUUAAUUAAAAGAUACUGAGUUUGAGUCCCAAUCUGUGGGUUCAAGUCUCAAUUUGAGUUUUGUCUGGAUUCAAAUCACAUCUGAGGUAUGAUUGGGUUUGAGUUCCAAUCUGGGACCAGGUGUGCACUUUCAAAUAGACUCAAACAUAACUGUCACACCCAUAAGUUCAACAAGACCAAACUCACCUGUUCAAAGAAACUUUCAAUAUUAGAUCACAAAGAGAACCUAAUGAUGAAGUGAUUAAGAAAGAUUGAAAACAAAAGGAUGAGAAAAAGUGUUUUUACUAAGUAAAAGUUUAACAGAGAUAAUUAUCCUAAUACUGGACCUCACUCACUUUUAUAUGCAAUUUAAAAGUACAAUAAAGGGAAUUUCCGUUAUGGUGUUGCGGAAACCGCAAAAACCGUGGCAAUGGAAGGAGACAAACAGCACUCGGAGAUAUGGAAAAGCAAAGUUUAUUCAGCACCGGUGUGGGCUCAGAGGAGUCACCUCCAGAGUCUGAGCACCAGGUCUUUGUUCUCAGUAACUUUUAUACACUACAAGGUCUUGAUUUUCCCAUGUAAGCAUCCCGGACCUCCCCCCAUUCCCAAGCAGAAAGUGUUCCUCCUUAGGAAACUGAGCAAGCAAGGUUACAGAAGCAGAACUGAUAAGUAAUGCUGGGUACAUGAUUAGUAGGGCUGCUGGCUUGGACACAGGGCACUCAGUUGUUACAUUAUUACAAGAAGGGUGGUAUAGUGAUGAGCAAAGCUGGAAAGGCUUGCAGCUGCCUUCUUAGCCGGGGGUGGGGGUGGGGUGGGGUGGGGGGGUUGUUCUUUAGUUAAAAUUCUAUUUCAAUGGCUCAGUGGUAACCCACCUGAAUAGCAUCCAUGAGGAUGCCAGUUCGACCCCUGGUCCUGCUCAGUUGCCAUGCGCAGCAGUGUAGGCCACAGAAGCAGCUCAGAGCUGGCAUUGCUAUGGCUGUGGUGUAGGCAAUAAUACAACCCCUAGCCUGGCAAUUUCCAUACACCUAGCGUGUGGCCCUAAAAAGAUAAAUAAAUAAAUAAAUCUACAAUAAGUUUUUAAAUAGGCAAGUGAAAAGAUGCUUAAUAUCAUAAGUCAUCAGCGAAAUACCAAUCAAAGCCACAGUGAGAUCCAACUUCAGGUCCACUAAGACAGCUGUAAUAAAAAAACAAGUGUUGGCAAGGCUGUGGAGAAACUGGAAUCCUCCUACACUCCCGGUGUUACCUGACACAUGUUCCUAUGCCCAACACACAGUGAGGCCAAACAAACUGAAAUGUCAGAGUCUGGAGCAGGGCCAAGCAAGAACGGGUGGCUCGUGCUCAAAAGCCCCAAACGUCCUGAUGGCUUUCAGGGAUGGGAUUUUAUAGGCAAAAUUUCAGGUGGGGCUGCAGGGCGUGUGACUUUCUUCAGAUUGGUUAGCGUGAGGCAGUGUUCCAGGAAUCUACACUCAACCUGAAGUUGCUAUCCUCCACCUGGGUGGGGCCUUGGAACUCAAAAGAUAUUGUUAGCAUAUCCCUUGAACAGGAACCAGAUCCUGCUUUAAUAACUGCGCUACUAUUUCUUGAUUGCUCUAGUCAUUUCCUCACUUCCCUGAUUUUAACUGUUUGAAUCUGUUCUUUGGUAUUUGAGAAGAUCUGAAUAAAGGCUGUAAAUGAGAAAAUGAAGCCAAGGAAAGGAUUUGUACCCAGGAGCCCCACAGAGUCCAGCUUGGUUUUGUUUUUGUUUUGUUUUUUAUUUAUUUUUUGCUCCUUAAGGCCAUACCUGUGGCAUAUGGAGGUUCCCAGGCUAGGGGUGGAAUAGGAGCUACAGCAGCUGAUCUGAGCCACAUUUGCGACCUACACCACAGCUCACAGCUCAAACGCACAUACUCACAGAGACAAUACAGGUCCUUAACCUGCUGAGUCACGAGGGGAACUCCUGAAUGAAUGGGUGAACUCCAUCCUUAGCCCAGGAAUUUACUGUUGAGUGGAAAUCUCAUCUCAGUUCAACACCCACUCACUGAAAACCUAUUAGGGGCCAAGAUCGGGCUCAGUGUGAGCAAUCCACAAAGACCUGCCCCCCGUGGUUGAGGCACUUAUAGGAGAAUAGGCACCUCUGCCAGGUCCUGUGAGGGGCGAGGAUGAGAAAGGAGACCUAAUUCCUCCCUGGAGAAGUCUACUGAUGCAGUAGUGGGGAGAAGAAAAUGGAAAACAUGUGAAAAGGAACUUGGAGACAAACACAAUUCCAAGUACAGUUGUUUCGUACACAAAUAAAACAGACUGUUAAACUAUUCUCUUGGCCUUUGUUUAGGAAAUGAUUCACGUCAUUCUGCUAAUUACGUUGGAUGGAGAUAGUGUUACUUGGGCUUCAUUUAUACACCUGAGCCUGAGGAGCGCCCGUCCCCUGGGCACUCAGGCCUGCUGACAGGUGUUGCUGGUCCCCCUCCUGGCAGCCCUUAGGACAGAUGUGUAGACUUUGAAAUGCCUGGUGGGACAGCCUCUGUGCCUCAGUCAGGGUCCCUUAAGCCAGAAGAGCCAAAGAUGUACUGAACUCCACGGUAACCUCGACAAAGUAAGUAAAUAAAAGGGAGAUUUGAUUACAAGUUUUCAAUGCAUAGGAAUUCAAGAGAUGUAAACCAGCUGUAACAAAAAAUAGAAAUCAUUAAAAACUUUU